rnacentral:antisense_RNA from 1 species
UGUAUUUUUAGUAGAGACGAGGUUUCACCAUGUUGGCCAGGUUGGUCUCAAACUCCUGACCUCAAGUGAUCCACCCGCCUCAGCCUCCCAAAGUGCUGGGAUUACAGGCAUGAGCCACCAUGCCCGGCCUCCCAGUUUUCAUGAAGAGGAAGUGAUGGUAGCUUUUCAUCUGCCCAGAAGUUAACUUUUGAUGGAUUUGCCUUCUAAGGCAUCAAACAUGUCUUCUAAGGCCUUCUCCACACAUUGGAGAAACUCCCGGACAUUGCGGCCUGGGUAGGAAGAGACAUUGCAGCCUAUCCAGUUGUCAUGAACAGCAUACCCAACACCAAAGCCAUCAGAGACCACGGGGGCAAAGCCCCCAAGGUUCACUGCUGGGCUGCUCAGCGUGCUCGUGGACAGGACAUUGUGGUUUAUCUGCCCAUAUGCAGGGUCCAGGUAUGUCAGAGGAAACUCGGGGGCAGGGCUGCUGUCUGAGAGAAUGUACUUCAGAUGCGCCUGGAUUUCCGAGGGGCUCACAAUGUUCC